rnacentral:rRNA from 1 species
UGGGGAAUAUUGCACAAUGGGGGAAACCCUGAUGCAGCGACGCCGCGUGAACGAAGAAGGUAUUCGUAUCGUAAAGUUCUGUCCUAUGGGAAGAUAAUGACAGUACCAUAGAAGAAAGCUCCGGCUAAAUACGUGCAAGCAGCCGCGGUAAUACGUAUGGAGCGAGCGUUGUCCGGAAUUAUUGGGCGUAAAGGGUACGCAGGCGGUUUAAUAAGUCGAAUGUUAAAGAUCGGGGCUCAACCCCGCAAAGCAUUGGAAACUGAUAAACUUGAGUAGUGGAGAGGAAAGUGGAAUUCAUAGUGUAGUGGUGAAAUACGUAGAUAUUAGGAGGAAUACCAGUAGCGAAGGCGACUUUCUGGACACAAACUGACGCUGAGGUACGAAAGUGUGGGGAGCAAACAGG